rnacentral:rRNA from 1 species
UACGAACUGCGCAAACGUUAUUCGGAAUCACUGGGCUUACAGGGUGCGUAGGCGGCGGGGAAAGUAGGGUGUGAAAUGCCUUGGCUCAACCAAGGCACUGCGCUCUAAACUCCCUCGCUCGAGUGAGUCAGGGGUACGCGGAACUUCCGGUGGAGCGGUGAAAUGCGUAGAUAUCGAGAGGAACACCAGUGGCGAAGGCGAGUCCCUGGACAACACCUGACACUGAGGCACGAAAGCUAGGGGAGCAAACAGG